GUGCCAGCAGCCGCGGUAAUACGAAGGGGGCUAGCGUUGCUCGGAAUCACUGGGCGUAAAGCGCACGUAGGCGGAUGUGUCAGUCAGGGGUGAAAUCCUGGAGCUCAACUCCAGAACUGCCUUUGAUACUGGAGAGCUAGAGUCCGGAAGAGGUGAGUGGAACUGCGAGUGUAGAGGUGAAAUUCGUAGAUAUUCGCAAGAACACCAGUGGCGAAGGCGGCUCACUGGUCCGGUACUGACGCUGAGGUGCGAAAGCGUGGGGAGCAAACAGGAUUAGAUACCCCGGUAGUCC
rnacentral:rRNA from 1 species